rnacentral:rRNA from 1 species
GUUAAAAAGCUCGUAGUUGGAUUUUGGUUAAGAGGGCGCGGUCGGCCGUUUGGUCUGUACUGCGUUGUCUUGACUUCCUGAUGAGGACAUGCUCUUGGUUAACGCUGAGACAUGGAGUCAUCGUGGUUACUUUGAAAAAAUUUGAGUGUUCAAAGCGGGCUUACGCUUGAAUAUAUUAGCAUGGAAUAACACUAUAGGACUCCUGUCCUAUCUCGUUGGUCUCGGGAUGGGAGUAAUGAUUAAGAGGAACAGUUGGGGGCAUUCGUAUUUCAUUGUCAGAGGUGAAAUUCUUGGAUUUAUGAAAGACGAACUUCUGCGAAAGCAUUUGCCAAGGAUGUUUUCAUUAAUCAAGAACGAAAGUUGGGGGCUCGAAGAUGAUUAGAUACCAUCCUAGUCUCAACCAUAAACGAUGCCGACUAGGGAUUGGUGGAUGUUAAUUGAUGACUACACCAGCACCUUAUGAGAAAUCAAAGUUUUUGGGUUCCGGGGGGAGUAUGGUCGCAAGGCUGAAACUUAAAGGAAUUGACGGAAGGGCACCACCAGGCGUGGAGCCUGCGGCUUAAUUUGACUCAACACGGGGGAAACUUACC